rnacentral:misc_RNA from 1 species
UGCAAAACGGACUUACGAGUCAUGUUUGCAAUAUUUGCUCUUUAACAAUCUGGAACAAGCUGAAAAUUCGAAAACAAUCGAAUUGCUUUUAAUAAGUGAUUCGAGAGUCUCUCAAAUGCUUACAGCACGAAGUGAAACACCUUCGGGUUGUGA